AACGAACGCUGGCGGCGUGCCUAACACAUGCAAGUCGUGCGAGAAAGUUCCUUCGGGAGCGAGUAAAGCGGCGCACGGGUGAGUAACACGUAGGUAACCUGCCCCCAAGUCUGGAACAACUGGAGGAAACUCCAGCUAAUGCCGGAUGAGACCACGAUCCCCUCGGGGGUUGUGGCCAAAGAUGGCCUCUGCUUGCAAGCUAUCGCUCGGGGAUGGGCCUGCGGGCCAUUAGCUAGUUGGUGAGGUAACGGCUCACCAAGGCAGUGAUGGCUAGCUGGUCUGAGAGGAUGACCAGCCACACUGGGACUGAGACACGGCCCAGACUCCUACGGGAGGCAGCAGUGGGGAAUAUUGCGCAAUGGGCGAAAGCCUGACGCAGCGACGCCGCGUGGGUGAUGAAGGCC
rnacentral:rRNA from 1 species